rnacentral:lncRNA from 1 species
CUUAGGCGGUGCCUUGGCCCUCCUCAACGCAUACGAAGCUGCCACCUCUCUUCCAGGUCUUCCAAUUAGUGUAAUAUCGUUCGGUGCUCCCAGGGUUGGCAACAUUGCCUUCAGGGAUGAACUCCACCAGCUGGGAGUUAAAACCUUACGGGUGGUCGUGAAGCAAGAUAUGGUCCCUCGGAUGCCAGGACUUGUCUUCAAUGAAAGAUUACAGAAGUUCGAUGAUAUCACAGGAACCCUAAAAUGGGUGUACACGCAUGUGGGAGCGGAGUUGAAGCUCGAUGUGCAAUCUUCUCCUUACCUCAAGCGCGGGUUCAAUCUUCCCGGGUUUCACAGCCUGGAGACGUACCUCCACCUUAUUGAUGGAUUCCAUAGUAAAACCUCGACGUUUCGGGAAGGUGCUCGGAGGGAUAUUGCCCUAGUGAACAAGGCUUGCGAUAUGUUAGUGGAUGAGCUUAGGAUCCCACAUGCUUGGUACCAAUUUGCAAACAAGGGCCUAGUCCGCAAUGCUCACGGUAGAUGGGUUAAACAAGUUAGAGACCCAGAAGACAUACCUUCACCUGCCAGAGAAACCCAUCAUCAGGCUUUUUCAGUUGAGAUGCUUGCAACUGAUGAAGGACUCGCCCUUACUUUGUGUUAAUUAAGCCAAAAAUUUUAUGGGUUUAUACAGCUUGAACCACAAUUGUAAAUUAUGUUGUUCAUAUACGGAUCAUAUGGCAGUACCAUAUCAAUUAUUUUGGUUACUUGGAUACUUUUUGAGUAAACAUGUAGUACAGUUUGGUAUACUUUUUGAGUAAACACGUAGUACUGUUUUGUAUCGGAGAAAGGACGUGAUUGAGCCAUUUAAGGGGCAAAAGAUAUGAUUGGCCAAAUAAAUUAAGGAUGUUCUUAUGAUAUGUAAAAGCAUAUAUGAAAACGCUAUAGAACUGUAGUGAUAUGUAUCGAGCAAGAGAUCUAAGUCAUUGAAUACGUUAAAUAAGGGCGCACACGAAUAACAUCGAGAUAUAAUAAUACAAAUAAACGUGUCAGAGUACAAAUGAAAGGCUGUUUGAGUUUUUAUGGUCUUUGAAGGCUUAAAUGUACUCCAAGACUGUUUGACUUGUGGCAUUCACAAUUAAUGAAGCAGACACAAGAUCAUAUUGGAUCCUUGCGCCUUGACUUCAUAGGCCUCGGAAGGAGUUUAAGACCAAAAUAAUUUAUUUGUAAAAAAAAAUAAUAGAAUAGUGUCCAUAUGUCAAAGUAGUCUUCUUUAUUCACGUAAGUAUCCACAUGAAUUUUAAGUGUAAAAAAUCAUCGUUGGUAACUAUGGUUUUAAAACUUACAAAAUUUUUCUUAAAACCACAAUUACAAACUGUGGUUUUACAAUUUCUCUUAAAACCACAGUUACUAACUGUGGUUUUAAAAGAAGUAUCCUUAAAACCACAGUUACAAACUGUGGUUUUAUAAUUUCCCUUAAAACCACAGUUAGUAACUGUGGUUUUACAAUUAUUUUUAAUUCGUCCCUAUUUUAAUGGUGUUAUAAUUUUAAUAUUAUUUUUAAAAUAUUUUUUUAUUAAAACAAUUAUAAAACCACAGUUACUAACUGUGGUUUUACUAAUGGUGUUGUAAUUUUAAUAUUAUUUUUAAAAUAUUUUUUUAUCAAAAUUACAAUUAUGUUGUAAUUUUCACAAAUAUUUUUAAGGGGAACUCAUGUGAAAAAAAGUAUGGGAUUUUAGAACUUUGCUUUUCACAAAUUUUUUUGUUACGAUUGUUUUAAAAUAUAUAUAUAUAUAUUAUCUUUAUUUUUCAUAUUUUCCUUGAAAAUUUGAGAAAAUAAUUUGGUCUACAUGCAUUCCCAUAAAAAUUUAUAUAUUUAUGGUAAAUAAAAUAUUUAUUUGUUUUACAAAUAUUUUCACAUAUGAACUAAAGAAAAUUAUUUAUUCAUAUUAUUUUUAAAUUUUAAAAUAACUAAAGAAAUUGUUUAUAUUAUUUUAAAAUUUUAUAUUUUCAUAUGAAAAUUAAUGUCAAUGAUUAUGAUUUUAGGUUAUUUAUUAUUAAGUAUGAUUUGAACUUAUGUCUUGGUUAAAAUGUAUAAUUUUUUAAUUAUAUGAAGGAAAAAUAGGUAAUGAUUGUAAUAAUUUAUUUAGUUAGAAUUUCUUUCAUUUAGACUUUAGGAUGCAUUUGAGUUUUAUUUGUUUAAAUUAUCAAGGAAACAUGUGAAUAACAUAACAUCACUAAUUUGAAUUAACACUUUAUAUAACCUUAAAUGUAUAAACCAAAGUAUAAUAGUUCUACAAACAUGAAAAAAGAUCUCAAUGUGUCCCACAUGAUGGAAUCUUUCUCUUUCGUUGUGAACGUACAUCUAUGGUAGAUGGCCAUAUUUGUUGUAUCCAUCUGUGCUAUCUGAAAAGUCUCCAUCUCUAUAGACUGUGACACGUCAUCUACAUGAGCUAUCGAGAUAGAAUCUUUCAUAGGAUUCUUUCAUAGGAUACUUACAACUAAGUAUUAAUCGAAAAUGUUCUUUAUUGAUGUCAGUGACCGAGUAUAUCAUUUCCAACAGUUGUUCAUAUGUUGUCCCAAGAGGCACAUCAAUAGGUUCAACCACAACUCUAUCCCUAACAUAAUCAACAUCGGUCUGUGUUCUCACCAUUUUCCCAUUACAAAAACAAACUAUUGCCACCAAUAAAUUAGACAUAGUUUACUUAUAGAAGAAGCCAAAAAAAUCAAAUCAAUUUUAUUUUUAACCACAAAAUUACACAAUAUAAAACAUUACUAAUAACAUCAAUUUGUAAUGAAAUAACAAAUAACAAUAAUAGGGUAUGUUAUUAACAAUAAUCAAAUAACAAAUAACACCUUAAUAUCCAAAUAAUUCAAUGUUUUUUAUUAAUAAUAUUUUCUUAUUAUUUAUUACCAUUAAAAUUGAAUAAAAGGUUGUUAUUUUUCUAUUAACAAUUAAAAUGUCUUUGUUUAAGCUACCCAAAUUAAGUGGGAAAAAUUUUUAAAUUUGUUCAAGAAUGGAUGUAAUGUGUACAUAUUCAACAUAAUUAAUAGUUACGACUAUAAAUGUUUUAAUAUUUUCCAUUUAAAUAAUUAAAAAGAGAAAGCGAAAUAGUUAAUACACUUUUGCUUAUGUCUGGUUAAUUUUUAAAUUUUUUUAAUUUAAUUAAAUUUCUACAAUUUAUAAUUUAAUAAGUUAAAUUUGAAGUAAAAACUAAUAUUUUCUAUAUAUUAAAUUUGGUUUUAGUGUUUUUUUAUUUAUUUAUAACUAUUGAGUUCUUCAAAUAUUUUAUAAUCUUUAGGAGUCUAUCUCGAUCUUAUAGAUUUUUCCCUCUAUGGCCUAAAAUAUUUAUAAAAAUAUUCUAAAUAACUUUCCUUAUUCUAUGAGGAAAUAUGAUAUCACAAUAAUAAAUUAACUUAGAAAAUAUUUUAUACAAUAUUCUUUACCAAAAGGAAUUUAUAAUAAUUGAGAAUUUGAUACAUUUUCUAAUAUAUGAUACAAUUCAAAAGCUAACCAAUAAUUACAAGCAAUUUUCAUGGUUUGGAGAUCCACCCUAGGUUCUACAUGUCUUUUUACAGUUUUAUAAAGUUGUUAGCAUUUGUAUAGGUGCUAUUAAAUGUUCCACAUGCCAUUAAAUGAUUCGAGUUCUAGGAGCCCUAGAGUUUGGUCAUGAUUCGAGUUCUAAGAGCCCUAUAAUGGGGAAGAGAUUGUUAUAUGCGCAAUAGUAUUAUCUUCAUAAAAAUGAUGAUUGAAAAAUGACACACUCAAAUCUCCUUGAUCCUAAUAAUUUUAAAAUAUAUAUAUAUAAUAAAAAGUAUAUAUUUUUUUAGCGAAGAAAAAGAAACAAAAAUAAAUUUAAUAAUCACUUCCAAUUUUAUAAAGUUAAUAAAUUAUGAAAACAAAUUUAAAAAUAAUUUGAAAAACUUAAGCAUUUGUAAAGAUAGUUUCUCGAUAAAUCUAGUAAUUAUAAUAAAUAAGAAGAUAAAAUAUUUUAAUAAUAAACAAGUAAUUAUAACUCAUAACCCUAAGGAUUUAUUAGGAAGUGUAGAGACUUUCACUUUUCUUUUUCUGUAACUUUUUGAAGUUGCUUCCAUAUGUCUUAUGUCAAGAAGAUUCCCAUAAAUAUGUAUUAAACCUAGAAGAAGUAGAUUCUUACAAAAAAUAAUGAGUUAUUUUUCCCAAUUUUUUACUUUAAUGCAUAGGUGUUUUACAAAAUCCACAAAACAAAGCUUUUUGAAUUUUUGGCUAUAAAUUUUAGUUCCAGAUUCUCACUAGGCAAAUAUUAAUAUUUGUUGUUCAUAUGUAUUGUUGUACAUGUAUCAUUGUAUUGUGCAUUAUAUUUGUACCAUAAAAUACACUUCAGACGAGAUACAGCCAAGCAAUAAAUAAGAUUUACAUCAGGAAAAUGAAUUAUAUCAUUGUAUUGUAAGUUUUCUAACAAACAUGCUUACAGCCACUAAAGUACUUUUAGAAAUAGUUGAUGGAUAAGAUCAAGCAAGCUACUGCCUCAUAACCAGCAAUAGCAGGCCCAUGUUUGUGAGGAAUUGAAGCUUCUAUCCGAGAGCGAGUAAUUGUAAGGCUGUUGAAAUUUUACCAGUAGUAAUGGUUGAGAAAGUUGAACAUGUAAAAUUUGCCACAAAAAAUAUGAAAAAUUAGCACUAAUGUGAAGAGCGUGCUUUGAUCAGUGUAAAGCAAAGAUCAGUACAUUAAGCUCUACAUUAAGCAGGAGUGUAUUUCCAUUCCAUAUUGGGAUUUCAUAGGUUUCCCCUAAGCACCCUGCUAAAGGCCAUAUUUAAUUUCAAACCCUUCAACUUUCAGUCAGUAAACUCCCAUUUUAAUAACCAAGGCAUAAUAACAUCUUUCACAUACUUAUCCAAGAAAAAUUAAAAGGAAAAAACAUCAUCAACAGUUAUCAUCAUCCAAUUUGUGAUUGGAAUUGGCUAAAAAGAAAAAUUUACACUUCAUGUGCAGGGAUAACAGAAAAUAAUAAACCAAAUGAUAUUGUAGUCACAAAUUCAUCAGGAGUGGCCAUAUCCUGUAAUACAUCAUCAUUAUUCCAUGUAUAAUCAAAGCCAGAUAGCAAUAGACCAUUUGUCCCAAUUUUGAGGAACUCACUAAAACAUAUUCUUUUCUAAAAUUAAUAGCCACUUGAUGCAUUGUAACUAUGUUAAUUUCCAACAUAUUAACUCCAUUUUUAUAGAAAAAAGAAUUUUUUUUUCUCCCUUUCGAAACCCCAAUCCGAAAAAACCUUAGCCUCUCCAAGUCUCUCUCUCUCCCCCACCUUCAUCCAAUCCGAAAUCCAUAUUUUGGAUCACGAUGAAGAUGAAUCAUGGGCAGAUCGACAGUUACCAGGAUUCCGAGAUGAGAGAAAAAUGAGGCAAAGGUUAGGGUUUUCCGGGUUCCAGGAUAAGAGGAAUACAAGGUGGAGGAAAGGGUUUUUCAAGUUUUUUGGAUAGCUAUGAAAUUGAAAACAACUUGAGAUUUUUAAAAUUUUCAAAACAACUUGUUUUCCUCUGUUUGGUUGGUGAGAAAGCUAAGGAAAAUGAGUGGGAAAAAACUCAUGAACCCAAAAAAAAAUUUACCUAGCUGCUAGUGGAGCUGCUGGUGGGAGCCACUGGUGGGAGCCGCAACCGGUGAGGAGAGAAAAUGGAGCCGCAGAUGGUGGAGCCUCAGAGAAGAGAAUACUUUCUAGAUUGUUGAUUUCGGGAAAAAAUUGGGUCUCCAAAGUAAAAAAACAAGUUUGACGAAGAUGGCUUGUUGAUGUGGAUUGCUGAUGUGGAUUCAAAAGAGUAUUUUGGAAAAUAGUUUGAAAACUGGAUUAGUUUGGGUUUUUUUUUCCAAAGAAAUACUACUUUGGCUGUAAACUCCCUUGGAAGCACCAAUCUGAGGAAGGUAAGGGUCACCUCAUAUUCACUCCUCCUUGAAGCCCUUGGUAGAAUUAGCUAAAUUUUGUUGAGAUUAAGAUUAACACAGAAAUUGAAUGAAACUUUGAGAAAACAGAACACAUCUCAAGCUCAUAUAAUUCUUUUAUGAGCAAUGAACUUUUAUUCAUCUAUUUGACGAACACUUGGUAGAGGAGAACUUAUCCUUCUCCCCGGUCGAGAGGAUGUAUCUAUGAGUUCCUUGACCAUAAACCUUCCAAAAAAUUGUUUUCUUUUAUUUCUUGUUUUCUUUUACAAGCUUUGCAUGUUUUGGUGCAAAUAAAAGACAUGUGAUUUCUUAUUAUUCUCGUGCUUAUUGUAGUCUUUUUGUAUUUUUAUACAAAUCUUCAUCAGGCAUAAGAUUUUCCUCAAGCUAUUUGAAGGUGGUUCAAUUUGGAGAUGUUUCCCUUUUGUUGAGGAAGAAUUAGUUUUUAGCUCCUCCGAUGUCCCUUUUAAUCGGAGUAAAACUUAACCUUCUACUAGAAAUAGAAACUAAAAAAUCGUGCUACACUGCACAAUUUCAAUUUCUAUCGUCUUUGAGAUUGAAAUAUACUCUCAAGAUUGUUUGAACUAUGCCCUCAUCAACAAUACAACAAUCACAAGCUAAUGUUAUAUUAAGAUUAUGUUUGAUACGGGAAAAUACUAUAAAAAUGAUUUAUUGAUUUUAAAUCUAGUUUUUAUUUUUCUUCUCAUUUUCCUCUUUAUUUUCUUUCUUUUGCAUUCUUCUUUCGAAUUUUCUGAAACCAAACAUAACAUAACAUAAAGCUUUACAUAUUAGCAUUAUAAGCCAUGUAAGAACAAAUCUGACCUAAGGGUCACCUCAUAUUCAUUCCCCUUUGAAUCUCUUAGAAGAAUUAGCUAAACAUCUUUAAAAUUAAAAUUAAGGUGAUGUUUGUUUUUUUAUUUAAUUUUAAAUACAACUUAAAACUAAUAAUAUUUAAUAAUGUUAAUAUUAAGUUUUUUUUAUUAAAAAUUAUAAAAUAAAGAAAAAAUAACAUAUUAUUUUUUCUAUUUAGAAAAAAAUUUAUAAUAAAUCAUGAAAAAAUAGAAAAACAAAUAACUUAAAAUCUCCAAACAAAUUGCUUUCAACAAAAAAAACAAGCACCCUCUAAUACAAAACGGAAUAAAAUUGAACCUUCUAUUGAAAAUUCAAAUUAAAAAAUGGUGCUAUAGUGAACAACUUAAAAUUCGAGAAGAUAUACAAAAAUAAGAACAGUUAAAGAUGCAAUAAACUAUGGCUUUCCUCAAAAUUACAAAACCCAAGGAAUACUCUCGAGUCCUAACUGAAGCUCUCCGAUUUGGUAAAAAAAAAGGUUGCAACAAAAAUUAUAAAAAAAGAAAAAGGAAAAAAAAAAAUUAUACUUCAAUGGUGGGAUUAAUUGUGAACGUAGUUUCCAAGAGUUAAAGAACAGAUUAGUGGCAGUUCCUAUUUUGGCUAUCCCUUCAAGCUCAAGAGGGUUUGUGGUGUAUAGAUCAGCCUCUCGUUAGGGUUUGGGUUGUGUUCUUAUGCAACAUGGGAAAGUUAUAGCUUAUGCCUCUAAACAGUUGAAGCCUUAUGAACGAAAUUAUCCUACUCAUGAUUUGGAGUUAGUUGUAGUGGUUUUUGCACGUAAGAUCUACAGACAUUUUCUUUUUGGUGAAACUUGUGAGAUAUUCACAAAUCAUAAGAGUUUGAAGUAUUUAUUUUCCCAAAAGGAAUUGAACAUGAGACAGAGGAAGUGGAUUGAACUACUUAAAGACUAUGACUGCAUUAUUCAGUAUCACCCAGGGAAGGCAAAUGUUAUGGUUGACACCUUGAGUAGGAAAUCUAUUGGUUCCUUAGCAGCUAUUAGAGGUUGUCAGAGGCAAUUAUUGGAAGAUUUGAGGAGUUUACAAGUCCAUAUGAGAGUUUUGGACUCGGGAGCUCUUGUGGCAAACUUUAGAGUACAACUAGACUUAGUUGGGAGAAUUAAGGCCAUAUAAAAGAACGAUUUGAAUUUAGUGCAACUUAUGGAAGAGGUUAAAAAGGGCAGUAAGCCUAACUUUGUUUUAUCAUAUGAUGGAAUUUUGAGGUUUAGGGCUAGACUAUGUGUCCUAAAUGAUGGAGAGUUAAGGAGAAAACUUUUGGAGGAAACUUAUUGUUCUAGGCUUGCGAUCCACCCACGAGGGACAAAGAUGUACAAAGAUUUGAGACAGAAUUAUUGGUGGUCAAAUAUGAAGCGAGAUAUUGCGCAAUUUGUGGCUCAGUGUUUGGUGUGUCAACAAGUGAAAGUUAAGCAUCAACGACCAGCAGGGUUUUUGCAACCACUUUCUAUUCCCGAGUGGAAAUAAGAACAUAUUACUAUAGAUUUUGUGACAGGGUUACCAAGAACCUUAAGGGGCAAUAAUGCGAUUUGGGUGAUUGUUGAUCAAUUGACAAAGUCUGCUCAUUUUCUACCUAUGAAAGUCAAUUUUUCUAUGGAUCAUUUGGCUUCUCUUUAUAUUAAAGAGAUUGUGAGAAUGCAUGGUGUACCUGUUUCUAUAGUAUCUGACAGAGAUCCUCGUUUCACUUCUAGAUUUUGGCAUAGUUUACAUAAAGCAUUAGGUACUAAGUUGAGUUUUAGUAUUAUUUUUCAUCCGCAAACUGAUGGUCAAUCAGAGAGGGUAAUUCAAGUCUUGGAAGAUUUGUUGAGAGUUUGUGCUUUGAACCUAAAAGGUAAUUGGGAUUAUUAUUUUCCCCUAGUGGAGUUUGCCUAUAAUAAUAACUUGCAAGCUAGCAUUGGGAUGGCACCUUUUGAGGCGUUGUAUGGUAGGAGAUGUCGAUCUCCUGUUUGUUGGGAUGAUGUUGGAGAGAAGAAACUUUUGAGGCCUAAACUUGUGCAGUUGACUAUUGAAAAGGUCUCUUUAAUUAAGGAAAUAUUAAAAGCAGCACAAAGUAGACAGAAGAGGUAUGUUGAUAAUCGCAGACGAGAUUUGGAGUUUGAGGUGGGUGAUCAUGUUUUCUUGAAAGUUUCACCUAUGAAGUCUAUAAUGAGAUUUGGAAGAAAAGGGAAACUCAAUCCUCGUUUUGUGGGACCAUUUGAGGUAUUAGAAAGAGUAGGCACUUUGGCUUAUAAAGUGGUCUUGCCCCCAAGUCUAUCUAAGAUUCAUAAUGUAUUCCAUGUUUCGACUUUGAGAAAAUAUAUUUAUGAUCCCUCUCAUGUUGUGGAGUUGGAACCUAUUCAAAUUUCUGAGGACUUGACCUAUGAAGAGGUACCCAUUCAAAUUGUGGAUGUGAUGGAUAAAGUAUUACGACAUGCUGUUGUCAAGUUGAUAAAGGUCCAAUGGAGCAUUCAUAGUAUCCGAGAGGCCACUUGGGAGUUAGAAGAAGAGAUGAGAGAAAAUCAUCCUCAAUUAUUUCAAGACUCAUGUAUGUCAAGUUUAGAGGACUAAACUUUUAUUAAGGAGGGGAGAAUGUAAAACCCAAGUUUUUUUUUUAGGGGUAAUUUAGGAAAAUAUUAAUAAUAAUUAAAUUAAUUAAUUAAUCAAUUUAACAAAAUUGAAAUAGGGGUAAAAAUGUAAUUUUAUGAAUAAAUACCCUAGGUAUAAAUUAGAAAUUCUUUUCUUCCUGUUUUUUUUUUUUUUUCUGAAUAGCGUUCCUCUUCACAUAAUUCCAGAGAACGUAAGGUUGGAAUUGAAUUUCAGGGUUUAAAGAACAUAUCUCUAUAGAUAAGAUUCUAACCCCUAUAUUAAUAUUUUAGAUUCAUUAGUUAAUUUCAAGCACAUUAGAUAUUUUUUUGGAAAACCCAAAUCUAGAUUAGGAUUAGUUUUUUUUUUUUUUAAAUUCGUUUUAAUAUCAAAAUAGUGAAAAUUUAAGAUUUUGAUUUAUUGUUGGAAAUUGGGAAAUCUUAAGUUUUUAGAUGAAAAAAAAUAAAAAAUAAAAAGGAUUCUUUGGAAGAUUUUGAUUUAGGUUAGGGUUAAUUUAUUUAUUUUUUUUAAAGAGUAAAUAAAUAUACUGUUAAUUGUGGCUUAAGGGAUUAGAAAAGAAAAAAAAAAAAAGAACGUGUGUGCACUGGUUGCAUGCGUGUGGAAACUGUGCAUCCACUUUUUGUAGCAUUAUGUAAAAAUUUCAUGGUUGAAAUCUAGUUGGUGGAUUUUAUUAGACUUUCAUGUAAUAGUAGCAAGAUUCUGUAUUAUUAGACUUUGAUGGGUAGUUGAGUAUUAUAUUAUUUAAUAAUGGCAGGGCUUUGUUUUAUUAGACUUUGAUGGGUACUGUAUUGUUUAAUAAAAAAAGAUGUGUACGGAUGGUAUUGGGGUGAUUAAUAUAUUAGCAAUGAUGGAGAGUUGUUGUGUAUAGGCUAUGUUUGGUGAAAAAAAAAAACUUGAAAGUGAGAAAAUGUAAUUUAUAAAUAAAAGAAAGUAAAGUUUUUGGUAUUAUAAUUAUAUUAAUGAUGGGUGUAAGUUAAUAAAUAUCAUAUAAUUUAAUUAGUGAAAUAAAUUACAAUUUAAUUAAAUUAUGUUGUGUCCCAAAAAAUAAAUUGAAAAUAAAAUUUAAGUUUUAUAUGAAUUAGAAAUUUAUUAAAAUUUCUAAAAUAGAAAUAGAUUAAAUUAUCUUUCAUAAUUUAAAAAAAAAACAUUAAUUUGAAUACCUAAAAUUUUAGGAUUGUUAAAUCUAUAAUUUUAGAUAAAUAGUAAUAGUUAUUUCUCUUAUAUUUUGUUAUGUGAAAAGUAGAUUUUCAGGAUUAUUUUUCUCCAAAAUUUUUGAGGACUUCUUUUGAGGUAAGGGAAAUUAAUGCAGUUAUUAUUUUUUUUAUAAACAAAUUUUUAUAUACAUCAUUUGGAAACAUUUUGAAUUAUUAUUCGUUUUAUGCAUGGAUUAAAUGUGUUUUGCAUGAAAAGUAUGUUAGAACCUUAUAUUUUAUUUACAACAGAGAAAUGUGGAGAUAUUAUGUUUUGCAAAUUUAAAUAAUUGAAAUAAGUGUUUGACUCUGUUUUGUUUGGCCCUUAUCAACGGGAUAUAAUAGUUUACUUUUGACUUUUUGACCCUUGUCAACGGGAUAUAAUAGUUGACAUUUACAUUUCUUUGUGGGGAAUGUACUUGAUUUGGACCCCAACCUCUAGGAGUUUGGUUAAAAGUUACUAGUAUUAGUAGUGUUUGGUUUCGUUCACCUUAAAGGAACAAUUUGAGGCUAGCUACCUAUUUGAAAAGUCUCACCUAACUGGGCACCAUUUGAUGUUUAAUGACCAGAGUAAAUAAAUAAUUUGAAUGUUUUGAUCGAAUUUGAUAUGAAAAUGCUUGAAUAAAAAAUGAAAUUGUACAAUUAAAAGUUUUGAAUGUAUUAGUAAAACUGACUCAAAGGUUUAUGAAAAUAAUUAGUUAUAAUAUCUCCUAUUUUGCAAGUAAACUUGAAAUAUUUGAUCAAUGGACUGCAUUAAUGUUCCUUAUUAGACUCUGAGCUCAUUCCCCUUAUUGAUAAUUUUUUUUCAGGUAUCCAUAGUUCGGGCGAGGAGUGACUAGGUCGGGAAAUGGUCAUCAUUAGGAUUUUGCUUAGGAUGUUAUUUUUGGACAUUGUUAGCUUAUAAGUUUAUGUUCAUUUGGAUUAUUUGGUUUUUGGAAGCUAUUUAGAUAUUAUUGAGCUUUUAAAUAUUUUUUAUGAUAGUUUGAAGUUGAGAUUUGGAGAUUAUGAAAAUUUUGUUAGCACUUGCAUUAUUUCAGUUUGCAAUAUAUUAGAUAAUGGAUUUUGAUUGAUGGAUACUUAGUUUUAAAGUUAAGUUUUGAAGAUUUUAGAAUUUUGUUCCGCUAUCCUGAACAGAUAUUUAGUAAUUGGUUACUUCCAGUUACAAGUUGAUUGUUUGGGUCAGGUUACACUUUAAGACUUCGGGUUUGAGGUGUAAAAUGACCGUCACGCCCUUGGAGUGGGUCUUGGGGCGUGACACAAGGUCCCUCCUAGCAUUCUACCAGAAUUUCAACCUCUUUCCCACGUACCCAUCUGUGAGAUGCAGGUAGAUCUCUAGGUUAUGAAAACCUAGCAAAUCAAAUUCGCGCUUCAAGUAGGGAGACAAUGACAUCAAGUUUCAGCUCGCUUCCGAUGUGUCUGUACACCCAUUUCAAUCUUCUAGUAAGAGCGUGGAUUUGGCAAAGAAUCUUGUUACAUAUAAUCCCUGGAAGUUUUGGGACUAUAUCUUGCUUCACCACCACACGCAGUAUCUUCACUCCCAUUUCAUUCAUUUUGUCUCUGAAAGCGAUGUUCCCCACUCUUGGAGCACCAAACGAGAUGACGCUGAUGUGAUCAAGAUCCGGGAGAGAGGACGCGGCUUCAUACGCAUUGAGGAGAGCCAACGCACCACCUUGGCUGUGGCCAGUGAUGGUGAGACUGACUUCUUCCCCCCUUCCUUUGAAAAACUCAAGCAGCCUUUUCACUUCUUCCAUGACCUGUUCAGAGGCACUCAACUUGUUAUAUCUAGUCGACUCACUCUUAGAUUUUUAAAUGCUAAGGAAGCCGCUUUCAACCUUGACACCCCCUUCCCCGAUUUGCUCUAGCGAUGCCUUUAUAUCCGAGAGCCAUUCAGAUGGUGCCACUGUCCCUCUCCAUGCCACAACUAUGUCUCUUCUUCCAAUCCUUUGGAACUCAUUGUCACUGCAACAUAGCCCAUCCAAUUAGAAUCUUUACUCCAUGUUUCACCUGUGUUCGGCCUUUCAAACCAACUAGGAACAUCAAUAUUGGUCAUGGCGUAAAUGUACUUGGUGACCUUGUAACCAUGUUUUGUGAGAUGCAAUUCAUCAAAAAGCUUGUGUCGAUUGUGUCGACAACUCCCACAAAAGUCCGAGAAAGAAUCAUAGUCGAAUGCAUCAUAAGUGGCCUGAGAAAAUUCUCCAUACUUAACAAUCUCUCUUCGAAGCCACGGGUGAAGCGGGUCCAUAAGACUUUCCCAGUUGAACUGGCCAUGAAUUUCACGCCAUUUCGCCGAUAUAUGCUCCCUGGGAGACCUGGUUGGUGUCAUGUGGUUGCCCCGAUCGAUGAAAUCCGCUGCUGUAUACGCCACGCGCAUGAGGCUUUCCAGUGAUUUACUCCCAUGAGAAACAUGUUUCUUAGGCUCUUCAGAUUGAAGUUGUCGGAGGGGCGUCAAUAUGCCUCCAUCGUUGAUUCCGGAGAGCUGUUUUAAACUGGAUGCACAUGUCAUAUGAAGAUGAUGCUUCUUCAUGGCAGAUGAUAGAGCCUUCUUGAUGGCACUCCAACUGAAGCCAGACUUACGUGCCCUUUAUGUGGCUCUUAUUGGUGCAUUCUAGAACCACACGUGUAGGAAAUACUAAUUGUUUAAUGAACAAAUUCAGCAGCCCUAAUUAUGUAUUUGUUCGCAGUACGUAAUUCUUACUAAAUUCAAACCAACUACAUUUCCUUCAUUGAAACUAACCAAAGUUGAAUAUUAACCGAUAUUCUUACUAAGGAACUUAAUUUUGUAGUAUUUGUAAUAUUAACCGAUAUUAUUAGCAUAGGACAAACAUUAAUGUCCAACAUUAAAAUGAAACAUUAACAUAAUUGAGAGUCGUUUAUAUAUAUUUAACAAAUUGAGAUGCCGCCAUAUUAGAUUACCGUUAAUUACAUACCCGGUUUAGUGGACUUGACCAAUCAAGACAUAGGAAAUUACAAAUUCUUGAAUUUAGCAAACAUUUAAGAAUGGCUACUGAUCCCACAACAAUGGUGUCUUCUUGAGGAAACAAGUUGAGAUCGACACACCAUAACAUCUAAAAAUUUAAAAUUAUUUUUACUCACAUACUGAAAGUAAAUAUCAAUGUUUUCAAAAUCCGACUAAUCAAUAUAUUGAAGAAAUUAUUAAUUUAUGGUUCAUUGGCUAAACCAAUUAUUGAACUACAAUUAAACUAAUAAUGUUAUAAAUAUAUAAUUUAUAUAUUUUUAAAAAUUAAAAACUUUUACAUAUUUCAUCAUUUUACCAUUAUUAUUUAGAUUAAAUUAUAACAAGGAUAAAAUGAAGAUAUAUUAAAAUUUUAAUAUUUCUAAUUUUAUUAUAUACCAAUUUUAUUAUUUAAAGUUUUUCAGAUUUUAAUAGUUAUAUAUUUUAUUAUUUUCAAAAUUAUUACUUGUUUUAUCUAUAUUAUUUUGAUAUUUAUUAUCCUAUAAUGUUAGAUGAAUCAUAAAUGGUUAUAUUUAUUUUUGAGUUUAGAAUUAUAUUAUAUAUAUUUUAAAUGCUUUACAAUGCAAAAAUGUUUUGGUGCGAUACCCAGGUUCAAUCCUGAUUCCCGUGCGCUCACAAGGCUUUUAGCCCUUAGAAAACAAGCCGCUUUGAAUCCCACAUCGAAACUUGAAUAAUCAAAACAACAUUCGGAAAUGGAUUGAUCAAAACAACACUAUAAACUAUCUAUUCAUGAGUGCAACAGUCAGCUCAGUCAAAGAGUUGGGAAAGUGCCUUGCAUUGGGCCUAAUCAGUGAGUGUCCUUUUCAUCCUUGAAAGGACCAGUUAGUUGAUAAAGGCUUCUGUUGGGCCCCGGCUUGUGAAAUAAAGCUAAUUGGUGGGCUGAAAAAAAAAUUAAAAAACCAGAAAGUUUUAUCUGAGCCGGGUAGCGGUUUAAAGGUUCGACCUUCAGCGCUAAAAAUUUUCAUUUUUUAUUUAAAAAAUAAAUUUUAUAUAUAUAUUUAUUAGCAACCAAGGGUACUCAGAGUGCAUUUACACUAAACUUUAAGGAUUAGGAAUGAAAUUAACCAAAAUUUGUAAUGAAAAUCUAAAAAUAAAUCAAAUAAUGUAUAUAUUAUGUUAUUUUUAUAUAAAAUUAAUUAGUUAAAAUGGAUAAAAUAAUCCUCAUAUUUAUGAUUUUAACAUCUUCUAUGUUUUUUCUUGAAGAAUAACCAAUUUUUAAUAUAAAUACUUAUAACUAUUUCAAAUAUUUACUUGUAGGUUUUAAAAGAAAUUAUUAUUAUUAUUAUAAGAAAAUAAUAAGGGUAUUAUAGUCAAAAUAUGAUUUAAAAAAAUGGAGUAUUAGAUAAAUACUAUUAUCUAACUUGAGUUUAGCUUAACCUACCCGAAUUUAACCUAAGUUUAAAAAAAUGAUAUUAGAUUAGAUCUAGGUUGAAUAAUUAGAGUUAGAGGUUGAAUUGAGUUGAUUGUUUCUUAAUCGAAGUAAGGUAUUUGAUAACUAUCUCUUGAUUCUUCAUUUUCUCAAUUCUCAUUUCUCAAUCUAUUCUUUCAGCCUUUUGUACGGUUUGACUAUAAUAUUUAGGUCUAUUUAGUUGUUGUUUUUAAAAACUAUUCUAGAAAAUAAUUUUUGAAAAUAGUUUUUAAUAUAUAUAUAUAUGUUUGGGAACUAAAUUUUGUAAAACAAUUUUUGUUCUUAAAAAAAAAAAAACAUAUUUGAUUGAGUUAAUAAAAAAGUUUUUUAGAAUAAGUAAAACAAAAAAUAUAUUUGAAAAUUUAUUUUUUUAAUUAAUAAAGUGUUUUCUUCCGUUAACUUGAUCUUAUAAAUAUAUAAAUAAUUUUCAUAUGCACAAUUCAUUUAAAUUUAAAAAAAAUCAUUUUAAAAUUUUUACACUAAUUAUAAUUUUCUUAAACAAAUGAUAAUUUUGUAAUCAUGUGUAAGUAUAUUAAUUUCAAUAAUUUAAGGAAGAAAAAAUGGCUUACAUGUGGAGGUGUGGUACUUGGGUGGAGCUCACUUUUGUGGAAACAUAAAAAGCAAUUAGAAAAACACAAAAAAAAAAAAAAAAAAAAAGAGAAAACACGGAAAAUAAUAUAUUCUUUUAACAGUAAAAAAACAAUAAAAAUAUUUUUUUAUUGUUAUCAAAAAAGUGGUUUUUGAGAACACGAAAAAUACAAAAAACAAAAAUACAUCCCCUUCCCCAAAAAAGUUUUUUUUUGUUUUUUGUUUUUUAUUUUCAAGAACAGAGUUCUUGAAAACAUAAACCAAACAGACUCUUUGUAUUUUGUAUGACAGAAACCUAUCAGGUUAUAAGAAGAACUGAUAAUUGAAACUGUGCUUUGGGCUCAACCUAGCCCAGAUGGCGAAUAGUUCCCACAUAGAUCUCCUGUUCAGUUUGGACUAGCCAAGCCCAACUUGCAGCCACGUUAAGCCCACCCUGUUUGGUAUGAUACUAUAAUUGCAUCCCCGAAUCUCAAAGUUCACUUGUGGGCUUGGCCCCUUGCUUCCUCUUCGAUAUUGCCUCUUGGGUCUUGGCCAUAUUUUGAUUUUGAAAAAACCUAUGAGCGGUGUUUGAGAACUCUUUUUUAAAAUAGUUUUCUCUAAACUUAAACAUCUUUGAUAAAUUUUGACAAAAUAAUAGAGCAUAUGUGGCCGUGUAAUUUAAAAAUAAUUUUAUAUUCUUAAAAACAGAAAAAAUAAUUUAAAACCUAAAAACUGAUUUAAUUAAUAUUAAAAAGUCAUAAAACUUAAUAAUAUUAGAAAGUCAUAAACCUAUAUAUAUACUUCAAAUUAAGUAAAACUCAAUACAUUAGAUUCAUUAAUGAGUCUGAUAAUUUUUAAAAAUAAUGUACUAAUUAAUACAAAAAAUUUAUGAAAAAAAAUUUGGUUUAUAAUGAUUUUAUUGUAUUUCUUUUACAUUGAAUUAUUAUUUUCUGAUUUUUUUUCAUUAGGUAAAUGAAUUCCAAAUAAAACAAAACUUAAAGGUCUAAUUAAUUUUAAAAUUAAUUUAAAACUCAAAUAGUAAAUCAAUUAAUAUUAAAACUCAAAUAGUAAACUAAUUAAUAUCAUAAAUUUAUAAUAAAAAUAGGUUUAAAAUGAUUUUAUUUUUUCUCUUUUAUAUAGAAUUAUUAUUUAUUGAUCUUUUUACUAUACAAAUCAACUCUAAAUUAAACAAGACUUAAUACGUUAGAUUCAUUAAUAAGACUAGUAAUUUUAAAACAAGCUUGGUAAUUUUAAAAAAUAACUUAAAAAUAAAAUAAUGAUCCAAUCAAUAUCAAAAAUUGACCUAAAAUAACUAUUAUUUCUCUAAAUCAUUAUUUUCUAUUUAUUUUUUCACCAAGUGGAUAAGUUCCAAAUUAAACAAUAAUUAAUGUGUUGAAUUUAUUAACAAGUUUAGUAAUUUUUAAAAAUAAUUUGAAACUCAAAUAAUAAACUCUUUAAUACUAGAAAUUUAUAGAUAAAAAAUGGUUUAUGAUAACUUGAUUACAGUUUGUAUUGAAUUUAUUAAUGGGUUGAACAAAUUUUAAAAAUAAUUUGAAACUCAAAAAAUAGAUUUAAUCAUUAAUAAAAAUAAUAAUAAAUCAAAACUACUAUAUUAAUGUACAUUGUUUCUUUUUUACAAACAACCAUAUUUUUUGAAUUUAGGUAAAUAAAUUAUAAAUUAAAUAAUACAUAAUUAAUAAUUAAAAUUAUUUAUUUUUAAUUUUUAAUUUUUAAGAGUAAUUUUGAAUUCAAGAAACCGAUAUAAUUAAUUCCAAAUGAAAUCAAAUCAUUUUAAAAUAUUAUAUUUGUAACUCUAAGUCUCUAACAAAUGAAAAACUUGACUUAUUUAAAUGUUAAACUUUAUUCACUACUCAUUUUAAAUAAAAAUGUUGUUAUAAAUUAUUAUUAUUAUUACUAUUCAUUUUUAACCAAAAAAUUUAAUAAAGAUGUUAAUAUUCUUAUGUUUCUAACAUAUAAUAAAAUAAUAUAUUUUUAUAAAAAAAAAUAUAAUUUAUAAUUUUAUUAUAAUAUUACUAUUCAUUUUUAUUAAAAACCAUCUAGUUUUUAAUUUAUUUGUAAUUAUAAAUUUUCAUUUUUAAUAGGGUUUGAAUUUAAUUUAAUUUAUAUUAUAUAAAUUGAAUUUGCAAUAUUUUUUAUAAAACAAAAACAAAAAGAAAAUAUUUUUAAACAAAAUUUAUCCAAAUAAGUUUUUUGUUUUUUAUUUUUAAAAACAACUUAUUAGACAUCCUUAUUUUUAUAAAAUACACAAAUUAAAUAUAAACAUAACAUAUCACAUUACAUAUACUAUAUUAGGAUAUCAUGUUCAUUGGAUAUACUAUCCAACAUGAUAUCAUAUUAAUAAAAUAUAAUAUCCAAAGAUAUCAUAUCUUAUAAAAAAUCAUAUCUUACGAUAUUUAUUUCGUAUUUAAUGAAAUAGAAUAUCUAAAAAUAUAAAUAUUUGUAGACCCAAAAUUUAUCAUAAUUUUAUUUUUACAUUGAUUUUGAAUCCAAUUUUUUCAUAAAAUUUCAAAGCCGAUUACAUUUGAUUUUUUUUGCCUAUUUAUAUCAUUUAAAUGUUAAUUUUUGUUAUUUUAUUUUAUUUUAUAUUUUGUUUUAUUUUAUUUUAUUUUAUACUAUGUUAUUUUUUCUCCUUUUCCUUUUACCUCAUCUACUCUACCUACUCUCCAUUUUUCUCUCGUCUCCCAUACCUCCCUAUUCCCAAUACCAUCGGCCCCUAAUUUUUUUUCUAAAAAAAAUUCUUCUUUUAAGCUACCUACUUCUCUUCCCUUCGGCUUCCCAUUUUUUUUUUCAUCUCUAGUUCCUUCCUUCCCACACAGUGCCACACCACACCUCACAACCGCACACGACCUCUUCAUUUUCACUUUUUUUUUUUUUCUUCAUUUCCUUUUCCCCUAAUACCCAUUUCUUACCUCACCCAUAAACCCAUCAAAGCUCACCACUGCCUAUAACACCGUCCGCCAGCCGACAAUACCUUUGCCAAUUAGAGACACCACUCUGACAAUCCCCCUUCCACCCAUCCCACAUUUCACAAUUUUUUUCCAAUUUAGCUGACUGAGUACAAAUUUAUGAUAUAUGGACAAUAGAAUUUUAUGGGAGAAAAUGAAAUUUGAAAAAGUGUAAAUGAAAUAUUGAACUUGUUGUAAGCUUAUUGGAUAUAUAUUUUAUUUCUCAUUAUUAUUUGGUUUUAUUUUUAUUUGUUUUUGUAAAUAUUUAUUUAUAUAUGUUUAUAUGUUGUGUACAAAAUUGAAUAUCAAAUAAAUCAGAAAAAUUACUUAAAUAAAAUAAACAAUUCAAUACACAAGUUUUAAUAAAACAAAUUUAGAAAAGUGUUUUUAGGAAAAUCUAGAAAAAAAAAUUAAUAAAAGUUUUAUAAAAAAAUAUUUUUAAUAAUGAUUGUUCGAAAAUUAUUUUGUAAAUAAAGAUAUCCCAAAAAUUAAUUUUUAAUAAAAUAGUCCAAAAAAUAUUUUUUUUAAAUAACUUUUAUUUAGGGAGUAAAUAUUAUUUUCCUUGAUAUUAUUUAAUAAAUAAAAAAAUAUUAUUUUAAAAUGACAAUAAAGAAUUUAUUUUGAAUCAUACAUAAAUUAGAAUCACUAAAUUCAUUUAUAUAUAAAGAAAUCAAUUUUUGUUUUUAGUAUAAAAAUUUAUACAAUAAUAUUAAUGUCUGUCUAUUUUUAAAAUUUAGAAGGUAGAAAGUUGAACUAAUUAUUUGGCGAAUUGUUGUAAUUUACCAAGAUAGCCUCACCAUACUUUGAGGCUGAUUUUGUACAACCCAAUCAUAUUUGCAUAUUAAACGAAAUCCAUCAUCCCUUGCUUCUCAUUUAUUAGACUUUGCCUGCCACAUUAAAAUAAUAAGACUUGAGACAAAUUAAUAACUUCUAAUAUUUGGGGCUAACCAUCCUCAUUAGACAACAGUUAAAGUAAAGAAGAGGUUAUUAUUAAUUUAAUCAACCCUUGAAUGGAUCCCAUAAAGAAGACAGCGCCCAACAGAGUCUUAAGUCUUAAGCCGACCAUAAUUGUACGGAUGAAUAGUCCAUCAUUUCAGGAUCGUACGAAAGGAUUAGUCCUACCAAUUUAAGAUUUAUCUUACAGUGUCAUUCAGACAUCGGCCCUUAAUUUAUGGGAUUAUUGUUUUCUAAUGUCUUAUUUUGGAAUGGACAACCAACAAUUAAAAAAAAAAAAAAAGGGAUAAUUGUGUUUUCAAUUCAGAUUUGAUAAUUAAGAUAAAAUUCUCUAACUACCCGAUAUAAGAUAGUAAUGGACAAAAAUACUCAUUUGACUCAUUUUUGUCUUUAUUUUACCACUCUUCAUAUUUUUAAUCAUUUUUAGAUUUUUUAUUAUUUUUUAAAACUCUUUUAUAAAUAAUUGAAAAAUCAAUAGUAUUUUUUAUUUUUAAAUUAUAAAUAAAAAAAUCAUAUUAAUGAUUCAAAGACUAUUUUGGAAAAUACUUUCUAAAAAAAAUAUUAAUUUAAAUAAAUAAAAAUUAUUUUUAAAAUUUAUUUUUAUCUUUUACAUUUUAGAAGUAAAUAAUUUAAUGAUUAAAACACAUUUUAAUAAAUAUAUUCACUAUUUUAAUUUCUUUUAUACUAAAAAGUAUUUUAAAGUUUUUUUUUUUACUAUUACAAAAUAAAAAGUUUAAUUUUUUUUAAUCUUCUUCCUUCCAUAUUUUAAUAACUUUUUGAAUAUGACUUUUACUAAUAAGUUAUAUGAAAUGUUACAAAUUUGUUUACUAAGGAUUUUUUUUAAUAAUUUGAAUUAAUUGAAAAUUUAUUAAAAUAAAAAAAGAAAAAGAAAGAAAGAGGAUGGAUGAAGAGUUUUUAUUUUAAGUACUUAGUUAAAAUGUUUUCAUAUGACCUAAUUUUAGAAGUGAAUUAUAUUAAUACAUAGUAGAGAUUGAUUUUUUCUUAUAUAAAAGGGUUGAAAGAUAAAUUUACUUAUUUUAAAUGAAAACAAGUAGUUAAAAAUUAUAUAGAUUAUAUUUGAGUUUGGUUUUAAAAUAUUUUUCUAAUUUUUAUUAUUAUUAUUAUUGUUUAAAUAAUUUUUAUUUUCUAUAUUAUCUCUUUUUGAAAAUACGUUUAAUUAAAAAAUGAAAACUAUUUUUAAAAAUGAAAAUUGAAAACCUUGUUUAAUACUAUUUUUAUAUGAAAAUAAAAAAAAUCAUUUAUUCAUUUAUUACGCCACUAUACAAUUAUAUUACAUUAACCGUAAAGGGAAAUGUACGAAGUGUACAAAGGUGAACAAAACUACCAUUUGUGAAAUAUUACAAUUGAUUAUGAGUCGUUCUUUUAUUUUUCUUAUCACUCACGAAUUGUACAUAUAACUUAGAAGAGAUAUGAAAUUUGUGUCAUUGUAUAAGGGUAUUACAAUAAUUGUACAAGGAAAAUGUACUAAUUAUACAAAUGUGUACAAGAUUAUUCUUUGUGAAUGAUUUCAAUAAAUUCUAAACCACUUUUUUAUUUUCCUUGUCACCCAAUGAUUGUAUACCUAUGUCAUGCACUUUAUUUAAUUAUCACAUGAAAAUUCCAAUAUUUUCCCCAAUAAUAAUAUUUGGGGAAAAAAAUUGACAUUAAGUCAUUCAUCAUUUUCUCAACCAAACCAUUGAAAAUAUGAUUAAUACACCUAUAUGGAUAUAUAACUUAGGAAAGAUAUGAAAUUUGUGUCAUUGUAGAAGAGUAUUACACUAAUUAUAUAAGGAAAAUAUGCCAAGUGUACAAGGGUGUACAAGGCUCCUAAUAGGUUUUGUACUGUUUUUAAACAACUUGAGUUUGAUAUUAAGACAAUUAUUGAUAGUUUUUUUUUUUUUACCAAACUAUGUCAUUAAGACAUUCCUUACAAAAAUUAACACAUAAGAAAUAAAAUUAAAAUAAAUCAUGUUUGAAUAGUUCAUUACAAGUAAACUAAAUGAAAUAUAUAUUUUUACUAUUUUGCCUUUAUAAACAUAAUUUCAUUAUUAUCGAUAGAGAUUAAAAAGAAUCGUAUUUAAAUGGAAUUAAAAAUAAAAAUAAAUUAUUUUUAUAACAUCUUUAUUUUUUAAAAUCAUUAAUUUAAAUUAUGAAAUUAAUUUUAAAAUUAAAAAUAUUUGUUGUAAUUAUAGUUUUGAAGAUUUCAUGAUUUUUAUCUUAUUACUUUGAAAAAAUUGUUUUAAUAAGAAAGCAUUUAUUUUAAUGGUUUUAAAUAUUUAAAUCUUUAUUAAAAAAUAUUUAGGAUUAGUGUGGGGAAAUAUAUAUAUAUAUAUGCAUGUAAGUGUUUACAUUAUUUUCCAAAUAAUAUGAGAAAUAAUAAACAUCAUAUGUCUAAUUUGCAAGUUAGAAAAAAAUUAAAAAUAUUUUAUGAGAUAUUUUAAAAGUAUUUAUUAUAUGUUCUAUAAAUUUGAAAAAGAAUAAUAUUUGAUGAUAUAUAAUUUACAAGUUAGAACAAACAAAUAAUACUAAUAUUUUAUGAGGUGUUUAAAAAUUAUUUAAUAUAUAUGAGAUAUAAUGUAAGUUUAAAACAAAGAAUAAUAUUUAUUAUAUAUUAUGUAAGUUUGAAAAAAGAAUAAUAUUUGAUGAUGUAUUUAAAAGUUAUUCAUUUCAAAAAUGCAUUUGACAAUAAUAAUUUUUAACCAUAUUUCAUAUUCAAUUUGAUGAAGAAAAAUUAUUCUAACUUAGUUUCACUAUUAAAUAGGUGAGAGAAGAGUAAAAGUCAAAGAGAGAAUGAGAAAUGUGAGGUGAUUGAUUAGUUUUUUCAUUUAAUAGACAAAGGUAUUUUAGGAAUUUUUAAAGACAAUAUCAUUUCUUUCAAUUUCUAGUCUUUCAUUGGAUUUUGGGUUUAAUUAUGAAUGAUAGAAGGAUCUUACCUCAAUUACCUAAUAACCGGGUCAAAAACACAAUUCUCUGGUAAAAAAACAAAAAUACUACAUUUAACAAAUAAAAAUAACCCAUCCAAUCUACAAAGAAUAGGGUAUGAGUAUUGGUGGGGUCCUUUAAUCAGGAUGCUUCUCAGAAAUGGGUGUGAGCAUUGGAAAUCAGUCCGCCGCACACGGGCAAAUGGGAACGCUGAUGGUUUUGGGGCGGGAAGUUGAAAGUCAAAAGUUGGUACCCUUUCUCUCUCUUUCUCUUUUGCCACAUGGGAGACUUGGAAUCAGUCGAAAAAGCAGGUUCAUAAGUCUAUUACUAUAAUACCCUUUUCUUUUCCGACACUACAAGCAUAAGUUAGGGAGUGGAAAGAGUCAAAAUUUGAACAGCCGAGAGACCAUGCCCCCGACGCGUGAUGGAAACUGAAAAGUUCAAAACCAUUGUUUGAUCGAACUCGUUCUCGUUUCUAUAUAUAUCUCCUGUGCAUUCCAACUUCCAAACUCAGCAGAAAGCGUUAAGCGUUUCCAAAUUGAGUGCUACCAUGAAGGCAAUUUCAUCCUCCUGCAUCCACCACCAUCUCCCGGUGGUUCACCACCGCCGCACCAACCAGACUUUCAUUAUUCGUGGCUUUCAAGAAGUUGCCACGCUCCCCAAACAGCAGAGCGCCAGCUCUCGCCUAUCCCAAUCGCUCUCAAACCUCCUUCGUCUCCAUGUUGACACCCCUCCUAGAACUGACUUUCAGAGUUCUACUGGUAUUUCUCUCAUUGAUGAGAAGCACUCCACUCCAACAUGUUCUCCCAAAGAAGACAUAUCGAACAAAUGGAGCGAAAUUCAUGGUUCCUGUGAUUGGGACAAUCUUCUUGACCCUCUUCAACCUUGGCUUCGCAGAGAGAUUGUCAAGUAUGGAGAAUUCGCGCAGGCGACUUAUGAUGCAUUUGACUUCGAUUCAUUCUCGGAGUAUUGUGGGAGCUGUAGAUACAAUCAGCAUAAGCUGUUCAAAGAACUAGGCCUAGAAAAGAAUGGUUACAUGGUGAGCAAGUAUAUCUACGCCAUGUCCCAUAUCGAUGUGCCCCAAUGGCUGGAAAGGUCUCACCUGCUCGACACAUGGAGCAAAGAUUCCAACUGGAUGGGCUACGUAGCAGUCAGCGAUGAUCAAGAGUCGAGCAGGAUUGGGCGAAGAGAUAUUGUCGUGGCAUGGCGUGGGACAGUGGCACCAUCGGAGUGGUACGAGGAUUUUCAGAGGAAGCUAGAGCCUGUUGGGAGUGGAGAAGCUAAAGUUGAGCACGGCUUCCUUAGUAUCUACACAUCCAAAAGGGAGUCUUCAAGGUAUAAUAAGUCAAGUGCCUCAGAUCAAGUGAUGAAAGAAGUAACAAGGCUAGUGCAAUUGUACAAGCAAAGAGGUGAACAAGUGAGCCUUACAAUCACUGGACAUAGCUUAGGGGGUGCCUUGGCCCUCCUCAACGCAUACGAAGCUGCCACCUCUCUUCCAGGUCUUCCAAUUAGUGUAAUAUCAUUCGGUUCUCCCAGGGUUGGCAACAUUGCUUUCAGGGAUGAACUCCACCAGCUGGGAGUUAAAACCUUACGGGUGGUCGUGAAGCAAGAUAUAGUCCCUCGGAUGCCAGGACUUGUCUUCAAUGAAAGCUUACAGAAGUUCGAUGAUAUCACAGGAACCCUAAAAUGGGUGUACACGCAUGUGGGAGCGGAGUUGAAGCUC